GCCAGUGUGGUAUAAUGGUUUGAAUGUUGGACUACAACUCUGGAGACCAGGGUUCAAUUUCCAGCUUAGCCG
rnacentral:tRNA from 1 species